rnacentral:rRNA from 1 species
GAGUUCAAGAGUACGUGAAACCGCUCAGGGGUAAACCUGAUAAACCCGAAAGAUCGAACGGGGAGAUUCAACCGCGUCUCGGGCCUGCCGGCGAGCGCUGGACCCUGCGACGGACUUCGUUCGCGAAGUACCGCGCAGACCUCCGCAGUAUCCGGUGCCCGAAUGCGUGCACUUCUCCCCCAGUAGUACGUCGCGACCCGUUGGGCGCAGGUCUAAGGUCCGCGGUGGAGCCCGUGCGUGCGCUGAGCGCGCUCGGACCCGCGGUUGCCCGGCCUGCAUGACCGACGGUAGAACGGUGGCGCGGGGCCGCGACUUGUUCGCGUCCGGCCCGCCGCAAGCGCGAACGGUCAACCCGAAAACCGGAGCUGAGUGCCGGAUCGGGACCCGUUCGGCUGCUGGUGGCGGUGUCCUCGGACAGACCCCGAACACGCCCGUCAGCGACGCUAUAGCUUUGGGUACUUUCAGGACCCGUCUUGAA